UACGUAGGGGGCAAGCGUUGUCCGGAAUUAUUGGGCGUAAAGCGCGCGCAGGCGGCCUUGUAAGUCUGUCGUUUAAACUCGGAGUCUCAACUUCGAGUCGCGAUGGAAACUGCAAAGCUUGAGUGCAGAAGAGGAAAGUGGAAUUCCACGUGUAGCGGUGAAAUGCGUAGAGAUGUGGAGGAACACCAGUGGCGAAGGCGACUUUCUGGGCUGUAACUGACGCUGAGGCGCGAAAGCGUGGGGAGCAAACAGG
rnacentral:rRNA from 1 species